rnacentral:rRNA from 1 species
UACAGAGGUGGCAAGCGUUGUUCGGAAUUACUGGGCGUAAAGGGCGCGUAGGCGGUCCCGUCAGUCCCUUGUGAAAUCCCCCGGCUCAACUGGGGAACUGCAAGGGAUACAGCGGGGCUUGAGUUCGGGAGAGGGAAGCGGAAUUCCGGGUGUAGCGGUGAAAUGCGUAGAUAUCCGGAGGAACACCGGUGGCGAAGGCGGCUUCCUGGACCGAUACUGACGCUGAGGCGCGAAAGCUAGGGGAGCAAACAGG